UACGAAGGGGGCUAGCGUUGCUCGGAAUCAUUGGGCGUAAAGCGCACGUAGGCGGUCUGUUAUGUCGGAUGUGAAAGCCCUUGGCUCAACUGAGGAAGUGCAUCCGAAACUGGCAGGCUAGAGUACGUAAGAGGGUCGCGGAAUUCCCGGUGUAGAGGUGAAAUUCGUAGAUAUCGGGAGGAACACCGGUGGCGAAGGCGGCGACCUGGGACGAUACUGACGCUGAGGUGCGAAAGCGUGGGGAGCAAACAGG
rnacentral:rRNA from 1 species